rnacentral:rRNA from 1 species
GCACAAGCAGCGGAGCGUGUGGUUUAAUUCGAUGCUACACGAAGAACCUUUACCAGGGUUUGACAUGCAAGUGGUAGGAAACCGAAAGGUGACCGACCCUUCGGGGAGCUUGCACAGGUGCUGCAUGGCUGUCGUCAGCUCGUGUCGUGAGAUGUUCGGUUAAGUCCGCUAACGAGCGCAACCCUCGCUGUGUGUUAUAUGUGUCACACGGGACUGCCGGUCUUAAGCCGGAGGAAGGUGGGGAUGAUGUCAAGUCAGCAUGGCCUUUAUAUCCUGGGCUACACACACGCUACAAUGGCCAGCACAGUAGGUUGCUAAGCCGCGAGGUGGAGCCAAUCCAUAAAGCUGGUCUCAGUUCAGAUUGCAGGCUGCAACCCGCCUGCAUGAAGAUGGAGUUGCUAGUAACCGCAGGUCAGCUAUACUGCGGUGAAUACGUUCCCGGGGCUU